rnacentral:rRNA from 1 species
AGCUCCAAUAGCGUAUAUUAAAGUUGUUGCAGUUAAAAAGCUCGUAGUUGAAUUUUUGGCCUAGCUGGGCGGUCUAGCCUAACGGUUAGUACUGCUUUGGUUGGGUCUUUCCUUCUGGCUAGCCAGUGUGUCCUUUACUGGGUGCGCUGGGGAUCCAGGACUUUUACUGUGAAAAAAUUAGAGUUUUUAAAGCAGGCUUACGCUUGAAUACAUUAGCAUGGAAUAAUAGAAUAGGACUUUGGUUUUAUUUUGUUGGUUUCUAGGACCGAAGUAAUGAUUAAUAGGGAUAGUUGGGGGCAUUAGUAUUUAAUUGUCAGAGGUGAAAUUCUUGGAUUUAUGAAAGACUAACUUCUGCGAAAGCAUUUGCCAAGGAUGUUUUCA